AGGUAUUGUGUUGAUUAUAUAUGAAAAAAGCGAGAGGAAGAAGUGUCUGUGAAAGUGAUUUAUAUGUGCAGUGUCAUAGAGAAAUGUGAAAGAUAAGUGAAUUGUGAAUGUGUUAAGUGCAAAAAAAAAU
rnacentral:lncRNA from 1 species